AGAUUGAACGCUGGCGGCAUGCCUUACACAUGCAAGUCGAACGGCAGCACGGGAGCAAUCCUGGUGGCGAGUGGCGAACGGGUGAGUAAUACAUCGGAACGUGCCCAAUCGUGGGGGAUAACGCAGCGAGAGCUGUGCUAAUACCGCAUAAGAUCUACGGAUGAAAGCAGGGGAUCGCAAGACCUUGCGCGAAUGGAGCGGCCGAUGGCAGAUUAGGUAGUUGGUGAGGUAAAGGCUCACCAAGCCUUCGAUCUGUAGCUGGUCUGAGAGGACGACCAGCCACACUGGGACUGAGACACGGCCCAGACUCCGUAACGGGAGCAGCAGGUGGGGAAUUUUGGACAAGUGGACGAAAGCCUGAUCCAGCCAUGCCGCGUGCAGGAUGAAGGUCCUUGGUUAGUAACGUGUACGUUUUAGUAACGGAACGUAAAAGUUCUACUUUACUAAAGUAAAGAGGAUCAAUAGAACGUAACGUAAGAAGUAAGCGAACCG
rnacentral:rRNA from 1 species